rnacentral:tRNA from 1 species
ACCCCCGUAGCUCAGCGGAUAGAGCACCGGCCUCCGGAGCCGGUGGCGGGAGUUCGAGUCUCCCCGGGGGUGCCA